GGUUGCCUUAGUAACGGCGAGUGAAGCGGCAAAAGCUCAAAUUUGAAAUCUAGCACUUUCAGUGUUCGAGUUGUAAUUUGAAGAAGGUAUCUUUGGAGUUGGCCCCUGUCUAUGUUCCUUGGAACAGGACGUCACAGAGGGUGAGAAUCCCGUGCGAUGGGGAGACCAAUUCUAUGUAAAGUUCCUUCGAAGAGUCGAGUUGUUUGGGAAUGCAGCUCUAAGUGGGUGGUAAAUUCCAUCUAAAGCUAAAUAUUGGCGAGAGACCGAUAGCGAACAAGUACAGUGAUGGAAAGAUGAAAAGAACUUUGAAAAGAGAGUGAAAAAGUACGUGAAAUUGUUGAAAGGGAAGGACUUUUGAUCAGACUUGGUGUUUAGUACUCUCUACUCCUUGUGGGUGGGGCUCUUGCUUUAUACUGGGCCAGCAUCGGUUUGGGUGGCAGGAUAAUGGCAUUGGAAUGUGGCUUCAUUCGUGGAGUGUUAUAGCCUUUGUUGAUACUGCCUAUCUAGACCGAGGACUGCGUCUUUUGACUAGGAUGCUGGCGUAAUGAUUAAAAGUCGCCCGUCUUGACCAACCGGACCAAAA
rnacentral:rRNA from 1 species